rfam:Ophiophagus hannah scaffold1300.1, whole genome shotgun sequence.
AAGGUAGCUUACGCUACUGCUAUGGAUUGGUUCAUAGCCGUGUGCUAUGCAUUU